UACAGGGGGGGCAAGCGUUAUUCGGAAUUACUGGGCGUAAAGGGCGCGUAGGCGGCCUUCUAAGUCGAACGUGAAAUCCCUGGGCUCAACCCAGGAACUGCGUCCGAUACUGGGAGGCUUGAAUCCGGGAGAGGGAUGUGGAAUUCCAGGUGUAGCGGUGAAAUGCGUAGAUAUCUGGAGGAACACCGGUGGCGAAGGCGGCAUCCUGGACCGGUAUUGACGCUGAUGCGCGAAAGCCAGGGGAGCAAACGGG
rnacentral:rRNA from 1 species